GGUUAACCGUUGCCAACUUAAAAAUAAAAAAAAUCGGGUAUGCAUGCUCUUCAUUCAAUUCUCUCUUCUCUGAACUUCUUAUGCUCUUCAUUGCUUCCCUCUUCAUUACUCCUCUUCAUUGCUUCCCUCUUCCAUUGAAGCCAUACGCACCCCCCUUCCAUACGCAAUUCGUCGCCGCCCUUCCAUUGAAGCAUCUUCGAGGAGACAAGAAAGAUUGGAAUUUCUGUAUGUUUCUGGAUUAGUUGUUAGGAAACCCACUUCUGAUGGAUUUCAGGGACUUGGAUCUUUGCCUGGUGUUGAUAAUUUGGCUUCAGCAGCAUCACCGGCGUCAGCAUCAGCAUCAGCGGUUCCUAAGGCAGCCUCGGAAUUGAAAUCAAAGUUGCAGCUACUCGGAAAAUGGUGGAAGAUAUAAAUUAUUCAACACUAAUUUAGAGGAAAAUAAUUUAAAUCUUAUGGUAGUCUUAAGUAAACUUGUGAUGCUAACUACCACAAGGAAGCUGAUUCAAUCAAACCCGGAAAUAGCGGAAGCCAUGGCUGUGCAAUAUGCCUUAACGAUUCUUCACAAAUUUGGGUAUGAUCGAGUAUGGGUUGAAUCGGAUGCCCUCAAUGUGAUAUCCACCAUUAACCAAGGAAAAGCUACCUUUGCCUUUUAAAAAACAAAAAAAAAGUAAACUUGUUUUAUUAUUAUUAUUACAACUGAGAUUUGCUUUUGUUGCUUUGUUUUUAGUUAUUAGGUAACAAUGAAAGCAGGCUUUUGCUGAUUGUAUAUUA